AUGAGCCAAUUAAACCUCUUUUCUUUAUAAAUUACUCAGUCUCAGGUAUUUCUUUACAGCAGUGUGAGAUCAGCCUAAUACAAUGUGGAAUCUAAACUAGUUAAACUCAUAGAAACAGAGAGUAGAAUGGUAGUUGCCCAGGGAGAUAUUGGUCAAAGGGUACAAUCUUUCAGCUAUACGCUGAAUAAGUUCUGAGGAUCUCAUGUACAGCCUGGUGACUGCAGUUAUAACACUAUAUUUU